rnacentral:rRNA from 1 species
AGAGUUUGAUCCUGGCUCAGGAUGAACGCUAGCGAUAGGCCUAACACAUGCAAGUCGAGGGGCAGCAUGGUCUUCGGACCGAUGGCGACCGGCGCACGGGUGAGUAACACGUAUGCAACCUACCCAUAACACUGGGAUAGCCCGUUGAAAGACGGAUUAAUACUGGAUAAUACAGGGGCACCACAUGGUGAUAUUUGUUAAAGAUUUAUUGGUUAUGGAUGGGCAUGCGUUGGAUUAGGUAGUUGGAAGGGUAACGGCCUCCCAAGCCUACGAUCCAUAGGGGAACUGAGAGGUUUAUCCCCCACACUGGUACUGAGACACGGACCAGACUCCUACGGGAGGCAGCAGUGAGGAAUAUUGGUCAAUGGACGAGAGUCUGAACCAGCCAAGUCGCGUGAAGGAUGAAGGUAUUAUGUAUUGUAAACUUCUUUUAUGUGGGAAUAAAGAUGGGAAUGUAUUCUCAGUUGCAUGUACCACAUGAAUAAGCAUCGGCUAACUCCGUGCCAGCAGCCGCGGUAAUACGGAGGAUGCGAGCGUUAUCCGGAUUUAUUGGGUUUAAAGGGUGCGUGGGUGGGCUUAUAAGUCAGCGGUGAAAUCCCGGAGCUUAACUCCGGGCCUGCCGUUGAAACUGUGAGUCUUGAGUGUGAACGAGGUAGGCGGAAUUCGUAGUGUAGCGGUGAAAUGCAUAGAUAUUACGAAGAACACCGAUAGCGCAGGCAGCUUACCAGGCCACAACUGACACUGAAGCACGAAAGUGUGGGUAUCAAACAGGAUUAGAUACCCUGGUAGUCCACACAGUAAACGAUGAAUACUAGGUUCGAUAUACCGUAAGCGCCCGAGCGAAAGCGUUAAGUAUUCCACCUGGGGAGUACGCCGGCAACGGUGAAACUCAAAGGAAUUGACGGGGGCCCGCACAAGCGGAGGAACAUGUGGUUUAAUUCGAUGAUACGCGAGGAACCUUACCCGGGCUCGAACGACAGUAGAAUAUGGUGGAAACAUCAUAGCUAGCAAUAGCUGCU